rnacentral:ribozyme from 13 species
UUUUUUUUUUUUUUUUACUAUUUUCUGUUUGUUUUUUGGCACUUCAAAGUGCAAAUUGUAAUAAAAAUAAUGAACAAGAAGAACAAACAAAUCUGUCAC